AUUUAUUUAUUUUAUUUAUUUAUUUAUUUAAUAUUUCUGCACAUUUUGUACAAGGGCGGACUUAACGCCUUAGGCGUUUUCUACCAGUCUACCUUUGGGUGGUGGAGAAAUAGCAGUGGUAGGUGCAAAGAUUAUAUAUUAUGACAUUUAGUGUAAAAAAAUAAAUACUAAUAUAUAUUAUACAUAAACAUACUAUACAUACAUACUUAAUACAUACAUAUUACAAUUGCCAAGAGAGACAAAAUAAAUUAAAAAAAAUAAUAAUCUACGGUAGCGACUCUGCCAAUUUCCUGUGGAUGUGGUCGCGUAAUUUCUUUUUGAAUGUAUAACGACUGUUAACCAUCCUGAUCUCAAGAGGUAACUCAUUCCAGAGAAGAAUAGAUUUCACAAAGAAGGAAGAAUGAACAAUAUCUGAACGGUGAGCAGGGCAAUGAAGAAGACGAUUAUUAGAGGAGCGGAGAUUUUUGUUGUGCUGUGAACACACAUACUGAAAGUGGGAGGUUAAGUAUGAAGGUGAAGACGGGGUAUAUAGUAUAGAAAAAAGAGUAGUUAAUGCCCUCAUCACACGUCGUUGUCUUAUCGGUAGCCAUUUAAGUUGCGCUCGAUAGGCUGACACAUGAUCGUACUUGCGGAGAUUAAAAACGAAUCGAAUGCAAUUGUUGAGAAGCCGGUCAAGUUUAUUGAGCAGAUCUGCAUUCAGGUCGUAGUAGCAAACAUCACCAUAGUCGAUUAUGGGAAAGAUUAAGGUUUGCAUAAGCGUCGCCUUCACGUUAACCGGUAGAAAAUUUUUCAAGCGAUAGAGGAACCGCAACGUACCGGUCACUUUCUGACUGACAGCUGCAACCUGUGAUUGCCAAUUCAGCGUGGAGUCAAGGUGUAGGCCAAGAUUUUUCACAGUGCAGCUGUACGGAAUGUUGAUACCAUUAAAAACUAACGGUGGUAAGACAAGACCAUCAACUUUGCUCAUAGCUCUCGAGCCUCCAAUAAUAAUGGCUUGACACUUGGUAGGGUUAACCUCCACCCCAAACCUGUCAGACCAAUUCUUUACCACUUCUAAAUCUGCGUUAAUUUUGUCAAGUGUUUCCAUUAAGUUAAUAGCUUUGGUGUGACGGUAAAGCUGCAGGUCAUCGGCAUAGAGAUGAUACGAACACUGAAGUUCGAGAGUGAGAAGAUUUAUAAAUAUCGAGAAUAGAAGAGGUGAGAGUAUGCCGCCUUGUGGAACGCCAACAUUCAAAGUCGACCAAGUUGAUGAGCUUUCGUCCACCCGAACAGACUGCUGGCGAUCCCGAAGAUAAGAAGAAAACCAGUCUAAUGCUUUAGAAGAGACCAUCGAAUGGGACAGGAUAGAUAGUAAGAUAUCAUGACUGACGGUAUUGAACGCAUUCGAAAAGUCGACUAGAACCAACACUGUUAGGUUAGCGUCCUCCGCAGCCCGUCUAAUAUCGCCAGUCACUUUAAGGAGGGCAGAGGAAGUGCUGUGGCCCGGCCUAAACCCAGAUUGAAGUGGGCUCAUAAGUUUAUUAGCAUAAACAAAAUUCGCAAAUUGUUUAUUAGCACAAGCCUCAAGCACUUUGGACAAGAAUGGAAGAAUAGAGAUUGGGCGGAAAUGACUGGGGAGAGUGGGGCUGGAAAUUUUGGGAAGAGGUCGCACGUAAGCUUUUCGCCAAAGCAAAGGGAAAGUUCCAGAGUAGAGGGAAUAGUUUACAAUGUGAGUAAUAACAGGAAGGAUCGGGACAAGGAUGGUAAUAAUCAUUUGGCGAUUGAUGUUAUCACAUCCCAUCGCUUUAGAUUUAAUGGAUAGGAUAAUUCUUCUGAUCUCUCCCUCAUCGACUGGCUGAAAAUUAAAAGGAUUAAUAUCAGGACGCGUUAGACUUGCUAUAAAGUUGAGAGUAUCCUGUUUGGUUAAAUAAUCCAAAUUGGACGAUGUGCUAAAUUGCUUAUUUAAAGCAUCUAAGGUAAUGGAACUAGGUAGGUCUAAAUUUCGCGAUUUGCCAAUACCCAGAGUCCUAAGGAACUUCCAGAUAUCAGCAGAAGUCGACGAUGAGACAUUGCUAAGUAUAUGGCGACGUUUAGCGUUGCGUAUCAUCAGAUUACACCGAUUCCUAGCAGCCUUAUAUAGAGCCCAGUUUUCAUCCGUACGUUCCCUUUUAAACUUGCGAAACGCCCGGUCCCUCCUUCGCAUGGCAAUCUUGAUAAGACUGGUCAUCCAAGGUGCUGGUGGCCGUUUUAUCCUUACCUUUUUAAUUGGUGCAUGGACAUCGUACAGCUUGUUCACCAAGUUGUUAAAAAUUGUGACCUUGUCAUUUACAGAAUCAGAUGUCAUCAAAGGUGUCCAAUCAAUAUUGAAGGCGUCCUCAAGCAGCCGAUCUACAUCCAUGCGUGAGAAACAACGCCUAUGCAAAACCUUAAUCUUGGGUUUAGGAGGUUUAAGGAUAUAGGAAAGGAAAAUGAGGUCGUGAUGAGAAAAGCCAGGAGCAAGAUAUUGACCGUGAGAGGAAAUGAGGGAUUGGUUGGAAAUGAUUAUUAAAUCCAGCCAGGAAUCAUCACCGAUCGUGGAACGGUGAGUAGCCUGGAGAGGGAGUAUUGUUAAGCAGGAUGAUUGUACAAGGUGCAGGAGUUUACGGGUACGAGGAGAGUUUGGGGCAAGGAGAUUUGUGUUAAAAUCGCCCAUGAUAAUGUAAUGUGCAUACUCGGAACCCAGCGAUUCUAAAACCGAUUCAAAAUCAGUGAAGUAGUCGACAGAAGGGGGGCAGUAGACAACACCAACGACAGCUUUGGCCCCCUUCACUGAAACCUCUAGAAAGAGAUAUUCAGCACUUACCAGAGGACCGGAAGAGCGAGCCAAAAUCCUAUAAGGAAAGUCUGAUCGGAGGUAAAUUGCCACGCCACCCCCUCUUCUCCCAAGCCGAUCAUUCCGAAUAAGAACGAAGCCAGGAAGAGAGUACGAGGUGGACAAGAGAUCUGGUUUAAGCCAGCUCUCAGAAAUCAGGAUGGCGUGAACAUUAGUGUUAGUAAAGGUCACAAAUAGUUCACUGUAGUGACUCGGGACACUUUGCGCAUUGAUGUGACAUACAUUAAAAACUUUAUUUAAUUGCUGAAAUUGUGUUCUCAAAGUAUCUCCGAGGGUAUCAGGCAAAGAGCAGAAACUGUCAUCGUUAUCACCAGCAUCCAAGGAUUCAUUAGCAGAGUGAAAACUAUCACUAAAAGAAUUCAUAAAAGGCAAAUUGUAAAAAUAAAAUAAAUAUUUAUAAAUAUAUAAAACUAAACAACUAAAACUAAAAUAAAACUGUUUUUAACUAUUUCAACACCACCCGCCAGCGAACACCACUAAAUAUUAAUUCAGCAAAGAACAAAGAAAAAACAUGAAUAGCAAAACAGAACAAAAAUAAAAAGAACCUGUCACUAAAUUAUCAAGGACAGCAAUGACAAAAAUCAUAAUAUAUAAAAAACAAAAACAAAAAAAAAAAAAAAGAUACAAGGAACGUUUACAAUAUGGGAUCGAAAUAGAUUAAAACUGUCUUCAAUGAAAAUGCUAAACAACAAAACGCACAUAGUUUUGUCUGUGCAUGCUUGACUUGACACAUGACAUGACUGACAUGACAUAGACAUUUGUUUGACAUUAAGUUUAUAAGAUAAAUAUUAGAUUCUAAAAAAAUAAAUAUUUACUUGUGAGGGUAAAACUAAGAAUGGUAUAAAAUUCGUGAACUUAAGCUAAGAGAGAGACAUGAAGUUACAUUACACAAAAUAAAAUAACAAAUUAAUUAGCAAAAGGAAAGAAGAUGUAUAAAUACACUAAGAGGAAAUUUAAGGAAAAAGUCAACCCUUCGAAGAUGCAUCAGACUUCACCGGGUACUUUUCAAGAAGCGGUUUCAGUUCGUCCAUUGCAGAAAUCCUAUGACGAGUGCCAUCUGAAGUCCUGACAACUAUUACACCAUCCUGCGACCAACAUGACCGCAUUCCGAAAUGCUGCCUGGCCUUGGUGAAGACGGACUGCCUAGUCUUGGUCAGGAACUCCUUAACUGAGAUUUUCGUCCCCUUCAAACCAGUCUUCGCUUUCCAAAUUGCAGACUUGACAUCCAGACCAGAGAACCUCACAAGAAUUGGCCUUGGGUGAUCUUUACUGGGACUGCCAAGCCGAUGUGCCACUUUUAUAUUAGAAACUGCAAUGUCUUUGAGAGCCAAUUUGCCAUUGACUAUGCUCAUUAUAGUGGCAGUGCAGUCCUCAGUGUUAGCUUCAGGAACUCCUUGGAAGAUUAGAGCCUUCUUCCGGUGCUUCAUCUCCAGGCCAUCAAUAUGCAGAAGACACUCGGCGAUUUGUUUCCUGAGCAAUCCAAGGACACUGUAGAUGAGCUCUCUAAAUGCCCGGAACUCCUCUGCAAUCUUAGCCACAGUAUCUUUGGCGGGUCCUGCAGCCUGAAUUUGUGCACCAAGUUCAUCCAUCUUCCGGGUGAAGUUCUCCUCAAGACUCUUUUGGAUUGAUAGGAUCUCGGACAGCUGUGACAUUCUUGUGUAAUUUAACAAUGUGCCUUGUGCUAAAUUAAUUCAGUGUUGUUUGGUGAUGUGGCGGGUGGUGUAUAAAUGUGUAUUCAAUUAUUACAUUUACUACUGUAAGUACUAGCAAAUACAGAUGCAAUAAUAUUUCAAAAAACAAUUGUAAAUACUAUUAAAUAUUAAUUUUAAAGGCUCAGAGAAUCUGAGAAA